UUGCAAUGAUGAUGAUCUUAGGACACCUUUGAAUUAAAGAUGAAACUAAUCUUUAAAUCUGAGCAGC